AUGCUAGCUGUUUUGACUUUUGACUAGUGGAUGAAAAGGUGAAAGUUUAUUAACUUGGUAACAACUCUCAAGAGCCAGUUACACCUUUUCUUGGCAGACAAAAGAAGUUGCUCUCAUUAUAUUAUUUAUGAUGAAUUAUAUUAUAUAUGAUAAACACUAAUUAAAAAGAAGAGAGAGAGAAGAAAAGAGAGAAGAGAAGACGGAUCAAAAGUGAGAGAAGAAAACAAAGCGAAGGGAAAGACGAAAUAGAUCGAAAUAGAGAGGAGAGAAAUGAGGAUGAUCAAGAGUGAGAGAAGAGAGAGACGAAGAGAACAAUCGAGAGUGAGAGUGAGAAGAGACAGAAGACAGAUCGAGAGAAGAAGAUCGAAGCCCUAAUCGUAAGAUCUUUUCGUAGCCCUAAUCGUAGAUCUUGCAGGGCUCCGGUGGAAGGUUGGCUUUGGGCGUGGAGCUGGGGACCAUGGUGCAGCACAACCUAGUUCAAGCUUUUCCUGAACGUGUUUAUUUUUCCAAAUAUAAUUAGGCUUUUUUUUUUUUUUCCUCUUGAAAUUAGCAGUUCAAAUAUUGAAUCCUCUUGUUGAAUAAUGUUUCAUUUUCUAUUCAAAAUGUUCAUAAUGUAACUUACAAUUUUGUUCAUUCUAUUGUUUCCUAGAAAAUUUCUCCAUGACAUUGUUUCAAGUAUGUUCUUCAUGGCAUGAGAAGGCAAGUUUUGAUUUGUCACCGUGCUACUACUCAUCUCAUCCCCCCAAUUAACCUGACAACACACCUAAUCCCUGGCGACUGCUUAUUUUAUAGCUCUCAUACAGUUUACCUAGUGGUGUAACUGACUUUAAAUUGGAUAUACAUGAUUGCUAUGAGAGAGAGAGAGAGAGAACAAUGACUACACUUGAUUGUUAAGAAAAUAGGUGGUAAUGCACUGAAAUAGGUCCACGACCACAGGUAAGACUCAAAAACCAAAAGUGAAAAGACAAAAGACUGGACAAACAAGGGGAGUACUCACUCCCAGACACGACCUCACAAAAACCUCUACACCAUCACUUGCCUAAGACG